UCGCCGUCGCAUUACUCUCCUUCUCCUAUUCCAUGAAAACCCACCGUGUUUUUCUUUCAACCAUUUCUUCUCCGAUUUCCAUUUGUUUUCUGAUUCGACCUUUAUGGAGACGCUGUUUCCAAAAUACCCUAGGGUUAAUUGUCGUGGUUGACAGCAAUGAUUGGGACCGUGUUGUUGAGGCGGGGAAUGAGAUGCACAGGAUGUUGAUGGACACCCAUGUAUUGCUAAUUAUUGGUAGAUUAAAAAAUCAAUCAAGUAAAAAAAACCGCAACACUUUCCAAAGACCAGACAAGUUCGGAUCGACCGAACUGGGUGAAAGAGGCCAAAUUGGGUCGGACAGGAAUGUGCAUUCCAAAAGUAUACAUAUAUUAAAACUUAACACAAAAUCACUGUUCAUUAACAGUGAACGGACGAAAGUGCCUUCUAAUUCUUUUGUUAUUGACAAUUUUUUCCAAUCACACAGCAAAAAGAUCGUUUUGACCUUGUAGCCUACAAGUCAUCAUCGCUUCACAUUCUCUUUUGACAAAACACUCUUCAUAUGUAUUUUGGAUCUAUACUAACAUGUAUGUUUUUAUGAGGGAAUAUUAUUUUUUCUUGAUGAAGAAUA